rnacentral:rRNA from 1 species
UACGUAGGGGGCAAGCGUUGUCCGGAUUUAUUGGGCGUAAAGAGCGUGUAGGCGGCUAUACAGGUCCGCUGUGAAAACUCGAGGCUCAACCUCGAGAUGUCGGCGGAAACCACUUGGCUAGAGUCCGGAAGAGGAGAGUGGAAUUCCCGGUGUAGCGGUGAAAUGCGCAGAUAUCGGGAAGAACACCUAUGGCGAAGGCAGCUCUCUGGGACGGUACUGACGCUGAGGAGCGAAAGCGUGGGUAGCAAACAGG